rnacentral:rRNA from 1 species
CAAUAGCGUAUAUUAAAGUUGUUGCAGUUAAAAAGCUCGUAGUUGGAUUUCUGUCAAGAGCAAGCGGUCCGCUCCUUUGGAGUGUGUACUUGCGUCGUUUUUGACUUUCUUCUGAACCUUGCUGUUUCCCCUUCAUUGGGUGAGGCAGUUUGGCAGAACCUUUACUUUGAGAAAAUUAGAGUGUUUCAAGCAGGCUAGCGCCUUGAAUACUGCAGCAUGGAAUAAUAAGAUAGGAUUUCAGUUCUAUUUUAUUGGUUCUAAGGACUGAAAUAAUGAUUAAUAGGGACAGUUGGGGGCAUUCGUAUUUAACUGUCAGAGGUGAAAUUCUUAGAUUUGUUAAAGACGAACUACUGCGAAAGCAUUUGCCAAGGAUGUUUUCAUUAA